GACGAACGCUGGCGGCGUGCUUAACACAUGCAAGUCGAACGGGCCCGCCCCUGUUUUUGGGGGUGGGUUGAGUGGCGAACGGGUGAGUAUCACGUGAGUAACCUGCCCCCUGCUCCUGGAUAACUGCUUGAAAGGGCGGCUAAUACGGGGUGUGCCGGCUGGUCCGCAUGGGCCUGGUCGGGAUAGUUUCAUCUUCGGGUGUUUCGGUGGGGGAUGGGCUCGCGGCCUAUCAGCUUGUUGGUGGGGUGAUGGCCCACCAAGGCGGUGACGGGUAGCCGGCCUGAGAGGGUGGGCGGCCACACUGGGACUGAGACACGGCCCAGACGCCUGCGGGAGGCAGCAGGGGGGGGUAUUGCACAAUGGGCGGAAGCCUGAUGCAGCGACGGCGCGUGAGGGAUGGAGGCCUUCGGGUUGUGAACCUCUUUCUCCGGUGGUGAAGGCCCUGUCCGUUGCGGCGGGGUUGACGGUAGCCGGGUAUGAAGCGCCGGCUAACUACGUG
rnacentral:rRNA from 1 species